GCAUAGAAAACCAAAACAAAAUAAAUUGUACCGCAGCAGAAAAUACAAAUUGCCCUUAAAUUCGUUCAGGCCCAGUGUAGAAGCUAGAGUAGUAUUUCCAAUCGGUAAUGAAGAACUAGUCGCACCGCUUCAAUACUCCCAGUUGUCUAACUAUCUCGCUCUCGCACACAUUCGCAAGGCACGCAGACAGAAUAGUAUAGAGGCAAAGCCGGGAAAAGUCCCGUUUCUAGCGGUUCGCGCAAAUUCCAGUGCCCGUCGACUGUACAAUGCGUAGAUCAGCUCGUUCAUUUGGUUUUGCAAUCUCGAAGUAUUUAAACGUGCGAAAGAUCAUCAUCAUCUAGUGCAAAGAAGUAAAGCCACGUGGACUUUAUUUAACCACGAGGGUGUUACGUAUAUCCCAGUUUGUGAACAAAACCAAAUAUUUAAGUCAGUGAAAUCAGUCUAUAUUUACUCGCUUGCUCAGGUCAAGGCCAGAACACGCGCUUGUCGCGGGCGCUCUCGCGCUUACAUUUGUUAAAUCACCCUUCUGGACCUGGCCAGCCUACCGUUCAGCGUGCAGCCACAGUUUAUGGGCGCGUUCAGCGCGCAGCCACAGUGACUGGGCGCGUUCAGCACAUUUCACGGCUAGUAACUUGAUGUCGGAACAGAACAGCACCUCGGUCUAGGCAAUACCGUCUGAACCACCACAGAAUGAAAAUCGUCGCUAGGGACUAGUCCGGAUGCAGGACAUCCACCAAAUCUGAACCGUCUCUCGCACCGCCGCUGAAAAGCCGCAUUUACCGUUUUGCUAUAAGCAAGCCCGCCGUAGCGCGCACCGGCCACGUGCGGCUCAUGUUUAAGGAAAGUCGUCUCCCAGAAGUAGAUCGUCUUGAAGAGAGAUCCGCAGAAGCUCGUCAGCCGAACCGAAGCACGUGUGUCGCAGCCACAUAAUUUUGAAAUUACGAAUACGGAUGCUGCAAGAGCAGGCAAUCAUUAAGGACCGCAAUCGUUUAAAGAUAUAGAAAGAGAAGUCGUUUGCAUUUAUUAAAUUUAUAAACUUUAAGUCAGACCGUUUAUCUUAUACUAGUUAUGUUCUUUUUUAUAUAGUUGUAAAGCGAUCUGUAUACCGCCGGAGUAUAUCCCAUUUAAGAAUGAAUUAACUGCGCAUUUACUUUGACAACGUUUUACACAGCACCUGCAUCUCGAUGGGCCCAGCGAAUCAGCAGCGAGGAUCUGUACGUAAGUGAUUAAGCCGCAAUAUCGGCAAACGUAGCGCAUAUAUUUUUAUAUUCAAUUUUAAGUGGGAGUUGUAAAACCGGCGAAUAAGAAAGCAUGUAGGUUAAUCUAACGAACUAUCAUUAUUUUGUUUUGGAAAACUUGUAAUCGAAAAGAACACCCAUGAAGGGAACAUAUUUAGAUCGUUUUGUAUUAUGAAUAAUGGUUAUUAUGAAUAGAUAAAUCCACCAAUCCGGGUCUGUUGCUAGUACCGUGAUGCGAAUGUCAAUAUCCUAUGAAAUGAAUUGAAAUAUAAUAAAGUAAUUGUUAAAGGGGUAACCAAUGAA